CCUACGGGAGGCAGCAGUGAGGAAUAUUGGUCAAUGGGCGAAAGCCUGACCCAGCAACGCCGCGUGAAGGAAGAAGGCUUUCGGGUUGUAAACUUCUUUUGACAGGGAAGAGCAGAAGACGGUACCUGUCGAAAAAGCAUCGGCUAACUCCGUGCCAGCAGCCGCGGUAAUACGGAGGAUGCGAGCGUUAUCCGGUUUUAUCGGGUUUAAAGGGUGCGCAGGCGGUCUGUUAAGUCAGCGGUCAAAGCCCGGGGCUCAACCCCGGCCCGCCGUUGAAACUGGCAGUCUCGAGUUGGAGAGAAGUAUGCGGAAUGCGCGGUGUAGCGGUGAAAUGCAUAGAUAGCGCGCAGAACUCCGAUUGCGAAGGCAGCAUGCCGGCUCCACACUGACGCUGAGGCACGAAAGCGUGGGUAUCGAACAGGAUUAGAUACCCGAGUAGUC
rnacentral:rRNA from 1 species